rnacentral:lncRNA from 1 species
AAUGGAAGGGGAAAAAAAAAAGGAAUUAAAAUUUCAAAUACCACUUCUACGGUUUAGCAAUUUUUUAUUUUAGUACCCUGCGAUUUAAAGUGUAUCAAUUUAGUAUCCAGUGAUUUCAUUUUUCUUUUUUUAUUAUCUCCUUCACUAAUUUUUUUUCUAAAGUGAAUAUUCGAUAAAUCUAGGUGGGGUAUCUGAAAUUUUUUGUAUAUAAUUUAACGAAAUAUUAACAGAGGAGCUGAUGAAAAGAGGAAAAUGAAAUCACAAAUACUAAAUUGAUACACUUUAAAUUACAUGGUACUAAAAUAAAAAAAUGUGAAACCACAGGGUGACAUUUGAAGUUUACCCAAAAAAAAGAAAAGAAAAAAGA